rnacentral:misc_RNA from 1 species
UCCGGUUUGUCACCGGCAGUCUCUUCAGAGUGCCCGUUUCCGUAGCAACUGAAGACAAGGGUUGCGCUCGUUGCGGGACUUAACCCAACAUCUCACGACACGAGCUGACGACAGCCAUGCAGCACCUGUGUUCCGAUUCCCUUUCGGGCACACCCAACUUUCAUCGGGCUUCCGGACAUGUCAAGGGUAGGUAAGGUUAUUCGCGUUGCAUCGAAUUAAUCCACAUCAUCCACCGCUUGUGCGGGUCCCCGUCAAUUCCUUUGAGUUUUAAUCUUGCGACCGUACUCCCCAGGCGGUCAACUUCACGCGUUAGCUGCGGUACUAGGGAAUCGCUUCCUCAACACCUAGUUGACAUCGUUUAGGGCGUGGACUAC